UAAACGCUUAUUCUUUAUACGUAUUGGCUAGCUGUGCGCAGCAUGCAUUGUAUUUUUUUCUUUUUAGUUACUAAUUAAACUUUGCCAAAGCAACAUCCUUAAUAGGUUAUGGGCCUAGAUAGCAUCACAGUGCGAUUGAAAGUGAAUUUGACUUUAUAAAAACAAAAGUAAUUGUGGACUUUCUGUGCAGUAACUCAUGUACAUACAAGUAAAUUGCAAUCGAAUUAAGUUCUUGUAAAAUACUGAACAUAUUCAUACACAUAACUGUAUUCUCUCCAAAAUGAGUAUGUCUUUCCAAGUUGAGAAACUGAGUGAAGAAAAUUACGAUGUGUGGUCUAUGUUGAUGCAGAGUGUUCUGAUAAUAUCAGACCUGUGGGACGUCGUGUGUGGUGAUUUCAUCAAGCCUGUAUCAGAGGCAGAGUAGAGACAGUUGACCAAAGUCGAUAGAAAGCCAGGGUUGGAACACUUAUUGUUAUUUAAACCAAAACACGAUCGAGCUACUCACGAACAGUUGGAGGCUUAUAUUUCAUUUUGCCAAGAACACCCAGAAAUAGGUACAGGGAAAAAUUACCCCAAAAAGGCCUCAACAGAUGAAGGAGUUAUCGCAACAGCUGGCAGAUGAACUAAAUUCUUGUAGAGAACCAAUACGCUGCACAAUGGGAAGAGACGUUAAGCGUUUGGAAAAGCGAACUGCCCACUCGCGCAAGGCGUCUAAAAAUUAGUCAAAGGCUCACACUUGGAGGUCCAAGCUCCAAGCCGAUGACCGUAUUUGAAGAAAAGGCUUUAUCUACAUUUGGUUCGGCUGCUGUGGAUGUUAUAAAAGAUGUCCAAUUGAGAUUUUGAUCGUUGAAUGCGCAAAAUCAACACUUUCAUCACCCACGGAUAGUGCUCUGCAAUUAUGCAGUCCCGCAGAAACAACUCCAAAUCCCGAACAAACAGUCCAUCGACACCAUACCCAUUAAUUAGCUUGGAAAACUAGGGUGCUUCAACUUCAACAUCAGCACUUUGAUAGCUGAUAUAUCCAAAAGGAAUGCUGCUAAAGAGGAGAGGCGACGGGACCAUCUUGAAAUCAUGCAUGCCAUUCUAGGCGUAACUAAUUCCAUAACG